UAGCGGCGGACGGGUGAGUAACGCGUGGGAAUGUGCCCUUCUCUACGGAAUAGCCCUGGGAAACUGGGAGUAAUACCGUAUACGCCCUAUUGGGGAAAGAUUUAUCGGAGAAGGAUCAGCCCGCGUUGGAUUAGGUAGUUGGUGGGGUAAUGGCCUACCAAGCCGACGAUCCAUAGCUGGUUUGAGAGGAUGAUCAGCCACACUGGGACUGAGACACGGCCCAGACUCC
rnacentral:rRNA from 1 species